UACGAGCGGCCCAAACGUUAUUCGGAAUUACUGGGCUUAAAGAGUUCGUAGGCGGCGCAGAAAGUAGGGUGUGAAAGCCCUCGGCUCAACCGAGGAAUUGCGCUCUAAACUACUGUGCUUGAGGAACCUAGAGGUGAGCAGAACAGAUGGUGGAGCGGUGAAAUGCGUUGAUAUCAUCUGGAAUACCGGAGGCGAAGGCGGCUCACUGGGGGUUUUCUGACGCUGAGGAACGAAAGCCAGGGUAGCGAACGGG
rnacentral:rRNA from 1 species